AGCGGCCGCCGCUGCAGCUGCCACCACCACUGCCACCGCCGCGGCCGCACCCAGCCUGCAAGGAGCAGCGGCGCCCUCGCGAAGGAAGGCGCUGUCGGGUCAGGGAGCUGGAAGGAGGAGACGCUGAGCCCUGUGGACACAGGCUGACAACACGCUGACCAGCAGAGGGCGCUCGUCCAGGCUGACUCCCGACCUGCGCCCAGCACGCCCAGCCCAGGUGCAGCAGGCAGGUCACUUUGAACAGUGGGUUUGAAGCUUCUGCUUCCAGGAGGGACGGGAUUUGAGUGUCCUCCCGAUCAAGCCAUAACCCUCAGGCUGUGACAAGCUUCCAGAACAAAAGUGUCCACCCCAAGGAUCUUCAGGGGCCUACCUUAUCUGCCUGCCAACUAUCAAAACUAACUCCAUUUUGUAAAAGGCCACAUGUAUCUCCCAUCCUCCAUCUUUCAAACUGAAUGUGGCUUUUUCUCCAGGAUUACAGAUAGGCUUUGAAAGGUAAAACUGUAUUAAAAGAACUGUAUUAGAAGAAUUUCAUUCUACACUCAUAAAGCUGAAUGAGACAUAAGAGA